UUUUUGGUGCCAAAUGCAUAAAGCAAAUAUAAGUCAAUUAAUCUAAGGAUAGUUCUUCAUUUAGUGACCUUUUAUAAAAAGCAUUACUUUGAACGAAUUUUCUAAUUUAGUUACUUUCCCUGUUAAACUUAGUUUUCUAGUGUAAAAAUGGGGUCCUACUUUGGAAAGAUCCUCAGGUUUUCUCAGCUAGGAACAGAUUAUGGAAUCAUGUCUAUCUCUCUACUUUAGUGACAUUUAUGGAUCCUGAAAAGGAGUGUGCCAUCUGGAUGUACACGUGUACUGCAUCGACCUCUCUGCCAUGAUAUUAAUUGCUUCCCUGAAGCUACAUUCUUUCUUGCCAGUUCUGAAAACUCAUAUUUCAAAUGCUUCAAGAGUCAUAAAUAAUAGUCAUGAUUCUAUGUGGCAUGUGUAUUACAGCUAGAUCAGUUCAUACGUAUAACUUUACAUAGUAUCUUGUGUAAAAAUAGCUUUGGUUAUUAAAAUCAUUGCAAUAAAAUACCUGCACUAUAAUAUUAAGUGUGUUCUUUGGUACCUAGGUGAUUUUUUAAAUGGAUGGACUCUUGUUUCAUUUCUUAAAAAAUAUCUGAACAUUCCUUAACAAACAAAGAGAAUGCACUGGUUUAGGUGUCAUUCAAAUUUUCUUUGCUGGGUUUGAAUCUGCAUUUAGGUUGCGGGCCUGGCAGGUUCAAACGCUAGGCUAGACGAGCAAAAUCACUAAUCCAAUGAACUCAGACAACCCCAUACCAUGUUGGUUGCACUCCUAUAGCACAACCAUUUCUGAAGACCAGCUCUGCCUAAGUCUCUAACCACUGGUGGUGGUGGUUGUGUGUGUGUGUGCGUGUGUAUGUACGUGCACGCACACACACAUGCACACACACCCACACACAGUACUGAGACAUCAUACACCUUCGUGGCAUGGUAGAACAGAUGAGAAAGUUCUAUCUUAAAAGAUGUCCGCUCAAUGGCUCAAAAUCACUAUGCUCCAAACCACUAAACAGCCAAGCACAGCGAGGAUGGUCAUGGAUUGAAGGUGUGAGAUCCAGUGGUGUUUUCCUGCUCAUCAUUUGUCUUGCCAAGUCGCCGCCCCGCUGAAGUGUGUGUCUCCAAACAAAGUCAGAAUGCAGGUGAGCUAAGUCUUUGGUUUCUUUGGACUAUAAAUAACACCUUUUUUUUCUUCAAAUAUUUCUAAGUAUAAACCUGCUAUCUUGAGGUCCUGGUCUUUUAAAAAUUUUUUUUUUAAAUUUAA
rnacentral:lncRNA from 1 species